rnacentral:rRNA from 1 species
UACAGAGGUCCCAAGCGUUGUUCGGAUUCACUGGGCGUAAAGGGUGCGUAGGCGGUCGGGUAAGUCUGAUGUGAAAUCUCACAGCUUAACUGUGAAACUGCAUUGGAUACUAUCCGGCUCGAGGAAUGGAGGGGAGACUGGAAUACUUGGUGUAGCAGUGAAAUGCGUAGAUAUCAAGUGGAACACCAGUGGCGAAGGCGAGUCUCUGGACAUUUCCUGACGCUGAGACACGAAAGCGUGGGUAGCAAACAGG